rnacentral:rRNA from 1 species
UACGUAGGGGGCAAGCGUUAUCCGGAUUUACUGGGUGUAAAGGGAGCGUAGGCGGUCAGAUAAGUCAGGUGUGAAAGCCCGGGGCUCAACUCCGGGACUGCACUUGAAACUGUAUGACUGGAGUACUGGAGAGGCAAGCGGAAUUCCUAGUGUAGCGGUGAAAUGCGUAGAUAUUAGGAAGAACACCGGUGGCGAAGGCGGCUUGCUGGACAGAGACUGACGCUGAGGCUCGAAAGCGUGGGGAG